rnacentral:rRNA from 1 species
CGCGUCUGAUUAGCUAGUUGGUAAGGUAACGGCUUACCAAGGCGACGAUCAGUAGCCGACCUGAGAGGGGGAUCGGCCACAUUGGAACUGAGACACGGUCCAAACUCCUACGGGAGGCAGCAGUGGGGAAUAUUGCACAAUGGGCGAAAGCCUGAUGCAGCAACGCCGCGUGAGUGAUGAAGGCCUUCGGGUCGUAAAACUCUGUCCUCAAGGAAGAUAAUGACGGUACUUGAGGAGGAAGCCCCGGCUAACUACGUGCCAGCAGCCGCGGUAAUACG